rnacentral:rRNA from 1 species
AUUGAACGCUGGCGGCAUGCUUUACACAUGCAAGUCGAACGGUAACAGGCCGCAAGGUGCUGACGAGUGGCGAACGGGUGAGUAAUGCAUCGGAACGUGCCCAGUCGUGGGGGAUAACUACUCGAAAGAGUAGCUAAUACCGCAUACGAUCUAUGGAUGAAAGCGGGGGACCGUAAGGCCUCGCGCGAUUGGAGCGGCCGAUGUCAGAUUAGGUAGUUGGUGGGGUAAAGGCUCACCAAGCCAACGAUCUGUAGCUGGUCUGAGAGGACGACCAGCCACACUGGGACUGAGACACUGCCCAGACUCCUACGGGAGGCAGCAGUGGGGAAUUUUGGACAAUGGGCGCAAGCCUGAUCCAGCAAUGCCGCGUGCAGGAAGAAGGCCUUCGGGUUGUAAACUGCUUUUGUACGGAACGAAACGGCUCUGGUUAAUACCCGGGGCUAAUGACGGUACCGUAAGAAUAAGCACCGGCUAACUACGUG